UGGCAAUGAUGAAUCAAAGGCCGGACUUACGGCUGCCAUUUUAGUUUAUUGGUAGUAGAUUGAUGAUUUCUUUUUGUUAAGGUGUAAUGCCUGAGCCAG